rnacentral:rRNA from 1 species
CUUGACACUGAACAUUGAGCCUUGAUGUGUAGGAUAGGUGGGAGGCUUUGAAGUGUGGACGCCAGUCUGCAUGGAGCCGACCUUGAAAUACCACCCUUUAAUGUUUGAUGUUCUAACGUUGACCCGUAAUCCGGGUUGCGGACAGUGUCUGGUGGGUAGUUUGACUGGGGCGGUCUCCUCCUAAAGAGUAACGGAGGAGCACGAAGGUUGGCUAAUCCUGGUCGGACAUCAGGAGGUUAGUGCAAUGGCAUAAGCCAGCUUGACUGCGAGCGUGACGGCGCGAGCAGGUGCGAAAGCAGGUCAUAGUGAUCCGGUGGUUCUGAAUGGAAGGGCCAUCGCUCAACGGAUAAAAGGUACUCCGGGGAUAACAGGCUGAUACCGCCCAAGAGUUCAUAUCGACGGCGGUGUUUGGCACCUCGAUGUCGGCUCAUCACAUCCUGGGGCUGAAGUAGGUCCCAAGGGUAUGGCUGUUCGCCAUUUAAAGUGGUACGCGAGCUGGGUUUAGAACGUCGUGAGACAGUUCGGUCCCUAUCUGCCGUGGGCGCUGGAGAACUGAGGGGGGCUGCUCCUAGUACGAGAGGACCGGAGUGGACGCAUCACUGGUGUUCGGGUUGUCAUGCCAAUGGCACUGCCCGGUAGCUAAAUGCGGAAGAGAUAAGUGCUGAAAGCAUCUAAGCACGAAACUUGCCCCGAGAUGAGUUCUCCCUGACCCUUUAAGGGUCCUGAAGGAACGUUGAAGACGACGACGUUGAUAGGCCGGGUGUGUAAGCGCAGCGAUGCGUUGAGCUAACCGGUACUAAUGAACCGUGAGGCUUAACCUUACAACGCCGAAGGUGUUU